rnacentral:misc_RNA from 1 species
GAUGAAGAACGUAGCGAAAUGCGAUACGUAAUGUGAAUUGCAGAAUUCAGUGAAUCAUCGAAUCUUUGAACGCAUAUUGCGCUCUUUGGUAUUCCGAAGAGCAUGCUUGUUUGAGUAUCAGUAAACACCUCAACCUCUUCUUGAUUUUUCAAAAGGAGGGUGGACUUGAGCUAUCCCAACAACCUUUACCGGUCGGCGGGCGGCUUGAAAUGCAGGUGCAGCUGGACUUUUAUCUGAGCUAAAAGCAUAUCUAUUUAGUCCUCGUCAAACAGGAUUAUUACUUUUGCUGCAGCUAACAUAAAGGAUAAUUGUCCUCUUGCUGACUGAUGCAGGAUUUUACGACACUUUAUGUGUUGUUCAACUCGAUCUCAAAUCAAGUAAGACUACCCGCUGAACUUAAGCAUAUCAAUAAGCGGAGGA